rnacentral:rRNA from 1 species
ACUCCUACGGGAGGCAGCAGUAGGGAAUCUUCCACAAUGGGCGCAGGCCUGAUGGAGCAACACCGCGUGAGUGAAGAAGGGUUUCGGCUCGUAAAGCUCUGUUGUUAAAGAAGAACACGUAUGAGAGUAACUGUUCAUACGUUGACGGUAUUUAACCAGAGAGUCACGGCUAACUACGUGCCAGCAGCCGCGGUAAUACGUAGGUGGCAAGCGUUAUCCGGAUUUAUUGGGCGUAAAGAGAGUGCAGGCGGUUUUCUAAGUCUGAUGUGAAAGCCUUCGGCUUAACCGGAGAAGUGCAUCGGAAACUGGAUAACUUGAGUGCAGAAGAGGGUAGUGGAACUCCAUGUGUAGCGGUGGAAUGCGUAGAUAUAUGGAAGAACACCAGUGGCGAAGGCGGCUACCUGGUCUGCAACUGACGCUGAGACUCGAAAGCAUGGGUAGCGAACAGGAUUAGAUACCCUGGUAGGAUAGCG